rnacentral:rRNA from 1 species
UACGGAGGGUGCAAGCGUUAAUCGGAAUUACUGGGCGUAAAGCGUGCGCAGGCGGUUUGUCAAGUCCGCUGUGAAAUCCCCGAGCUCAACUUGGGAAUUGCAGUGGAUACUGGCAAGCUGGAGUAUGGUAGAGGAAGGUGGAAUUCCCGGUGUAGCAGUGAAAUGCGUAGAGAUCGGGAGGAACACCAGUGGCGAAGGCGGCCUUCUGGACCAAUACUGACGCUCAUGCACGAAAGCGUGGGGAGCAAACAGG